UACAGAGGGUGCAAGCGUUGUUCGGAAUUAUUGGGCGUAAAGGGUGCGUAGGCGGCGCGGUAAGUCGGGUGUGAAAUCUCGGGGCUUAACUCCGAAACUGCAUUCGAUACUGCCGUGCUUGAGGACUGGAGAGGAGACUGGAAUUUACGGUGUAGCGGUGAAAUGCGUAGAUAUCGUAAGGAAGACCAGUGGCGAAGGCGGGUCUCUGGACAGUUCCUGACGCUGAGGCACGAAGGCCAGGGGAGCAAACGGG
rnacentral:rRNA from 1 species